CAACACCCCCCCUCUCCCUCGAGAGUGUCAAUCUCCAGAGUACAUAGAGGUCUUCUGCUUUCAGAUUUAUGCUUUUCCAGCACAUGGGUGACUAAUGGCAUAUGUUGUUUCCAGAAGUGACAAGAAGCGGACCUGCUGUCAGGAGCAAUCACACUCAGAGGCUGCAGGAGGACUCACAAAAGCUAGAGAAAAGGUUUGUUGGGAUCCUAUUCCCCAUCUGCAUGGCCAGCAACCCCAGCCCCUGGAUAGAUCUAAUAGAUU